UCCCCUGUAGCUCAAUCAGGCAGAGCACGGAACUGUUAAUUCUGGGGUUACUGGUUCGAUUCCAGUCGGGGGAG
rfam:Prochlorococcus phage Syn33, complete genome.